rnacentral:rRNA from 1 species
UACGGAAGGCAGCAGUGGGGAAUAUUGCACAAUGGGCGCAAGCCUGAUGCAGCCAUGCCGCGUGUAUGAAGAAGGCCUUCGGGUUGUAAAGUACUUUCAGUCGUGAGGAAGGUGUUAAGGUUAAUAACCUUAGCAAUUGACGUUAGCGACAGAAGAAGCACCGGCUAACUCCGUGCCAGCAGCCGCGGUAAUACGGAGGGUGCGAGCGUUAAUCGGAAUUACUGGGCGUAAAGGGCACGCAGGCGGUUAAUUAAGUUGGAUGUGAAAUCCCCGGGCUUAACCUGGGAAUGGCAUUCAAGACUGGUUAGCUAGAGUCUUGUAGAGGGGGUAGAAUUCCAUGUGUAGCGGUGAAAUGCGUAGAGAUGUGGAGGAAUACCGGUGGCGAAGGCGGCCCCUGGACAAAGGCUGACGCUCAUGUGCGAAAGCUGGGGAGCAAACAGGAUUAGAUACC